GACGAACGCUGGCGGCGUGCUUAACACAUGCAAGUCGAACGGAAAGGCCCUGCUUUUGUGGGGUGCUCGCGUGGCGAACAGGGGAGUAACACAUGAGUGACCUGUCCUUGGCUUUGGGAUAACUUCAGGGGACUGGGGCUCAUACAGGGUAUGAGCUCCUGCUGCAGGGUGGGGGGUGGGAAGGUUCGGCGGUUGGGUAUGGAUUGGCGGCUCGUCAGCUCAUUGGUGGGGUGGUGGCUUAGCCCGGCAUUGACGGGUAGCAGGCCUGAGAGGGUAACCGGCCACAUUGGGACUGAGAUACGGCCCAGACUGCGACGGGAGGCAGCAGUGGGGAAUAUUGCACAAGGGGCGGAAGCCUGAUGCAGCAACGCCGCGUGCGGGAGUACGGCCUUCGCGUUGUAAACCGCGUUCGCCUGUGACGAAGCGUGAGUGACGGUAAUUGGUAAAGAAGCACCGGCUAACUACGUG
rnacentral:rRNA from 1 species